GUCCAUUUGGGGACAUCUGAUAAAAUUGGAACGAUACAGAGAAGAUAAGCAUAGCUCCUGUGCAAGGAUGACACGCACAAAUAGAGAAAAUGGUCUUGGACCU